rnacentral:rRNA from 1 species
CGGUUAAGUUAGAAAGGGCGCACGGUGGAUGCCUUGGCACUAGGAGCCGAUGAAGGACGGGACGAACACCGAUAUGCUUCGGGGAGCUGUAAGCAAGCUUUGAUCCGGAGAUUUCCGAAUGGGGAAACCCACCACUCGUAAUGGAGUGGUAUCCAUAUCUGAAUACAUAGGAUAUGAGAAGGCAGACCCGGGGAACUGAAACAUCUAAGUACCCGGAGGAAGAGAAAGCAAAUGCGAUUCCCUGAGUAGCGGCGAGCGAAACGGGACCAGCCCAAACCAAGAGGCUUGCCUCUUGGGGUUGUAGGACACUCUGUACGGAGUUACAAAGGAACGAGGUAGAUGAAGAGGUCUGGAAAGGCCCGCCAUAGGAGGUAACAGCCCUGUAGUCAAAACUUCGUUCUCUCCUGAGUGGAUCCUGAGUACGGCGGAACACGUGAAAUUCCGUCGGAAUCAGGGAGGACCAUCUCCCAAGGCUAAAUACUCCCUAGUGACCGAUAGUGAACCAGUACCGUGAGGGAAAGGUGAAAAGCACCCCGGAAGGGGAGUGAAAGAGAUCCUGAAACCGUGUGCCUACAAGUAGUCAGAGCCCGUUAACGGGUGAUGGCGUGCCUUUUGUAGAAUGAACCGGCGAGUUACGAUCCCGUGCAAGGUUAAGCAGAAGAUGCGGAGCCGCAGCGAAAGCGAGUCUGAAUAGGGCGAAUUGAGUACGUGGUCGUAGACCCGAAACCAGGUGAUCUACCCAUGUCCAGGGUGAAGUUCAGGUAACACUGAAUGGAGGCCCGAACCCACGCACGUUGAAAAGUGCGGGGAUGAGGUGUGGGUAGGGGUGAAAUGCCAAUCGAACCUGGAGAUAGCUGGUUCUCUCCGAAAUAGCUUUAGGGCUAGCCUCAAGGUAAGAGUCUCGGAGGUAGAGCACUGAUUGGACUAGGGGCCCCUACCGGGUUACCGAAUUCAGUCAAACUCCGAAUGCCGAUGACUUAUCCUUGGGAGUCAGACUGCGAGUGAUAAGAUCCGUAGUCGAAAGGGAAACAGCCCAGACCGCCAGCUAAGGUCCCAAAGUAUACGUUAAGUGGAAAAGGAUGUGGAGUUGCUUAGACAACCAGGAUGUUGGCUUAGAAGCAGCCACCAUUUAAAGAGUGCGUAAUAGCUCACUGGUCGAGUGACUCUGCGCCGAAAAUGUACCGGGGCUAAACGUAUCACCGAAGCUGCGGACUGUUCUUCGAACAGUGGUAGGAGAGCGUUCUAAGGGCUGUGAAGCAAGACCGGAAGGACUUGUGGAGCGCUUAGAAGUGAGAAUGCCGGUAUGAGUAGCGAAAGAGGGGUGAGAAUCCCCUCCACCGAAUGCCUAAGGUUUCCUGAGGAAGGCUCGUCCGCUCAGGGUUAGUCGGGACCUAAGCCGAGGCCGAAAGGCGUAGGCGAUGGAUAACAGGUUGAUAUUCCUGUACCACCUCCUCACCAUUUGAGCAAUGGGGGGACGCAGGAGGAUAGGGUAAGCGCGGUAUUGGAUAUCCGCGUCCAAGCAGUUAGGCUGGGAAAUAGGCAAAUCCGUUUCCCGUGAAGGCUGAGCUGUGAUGGCGAGCGAAUUAUAGUAGCGAAGUUCCUGAUUCCACACUGCCAAGAAAAGCCUCUAGCGAGGUGAGAGGUGCCCGUACCGCAAACCGACACAGGUAGGCGAGGAGAGAAUCCUAAGGUGAUCGAGAGAACUCUCGUUAAGGAACUCGGCAAAAUGACCCCGUAACUUCGGGAGAAGGGGUGCUCUGUUAGGGUGCAAGCCCGAGAGAGCCGCAGUGAAUAGGCCCAGGCGACUGUUUAGCAAAAACACAGGUCUCUGCGAAGCCGUAAGGCGAAGUAUAGGGGCUGACGCCUGCCCGGUGCUGGAAGGUUAAGAGGAGCGCUUAGCGUAAGCGAAGGUGCGAAUUGAAGCCCCAGUAAACGGCGGCCGUAACUAUAACGGUCCUAAGGUAGCGAAAUUCCUUGUCGGGUAAGUUCCGACCCGCACGAAAGGCGCAACGAUCUGGGCACUGUCUCAACGAGAGACUCGGUGAAAUUAUAGUACCUGUGAAGAUGCAGGUUACCCGCGACAGGACGGAAAGACCCCGUGGAGCUUUACUGCAGCCUGAUAUUGAAUGUUGGUACAGCUUGUACAGGAUAGGUAGGAGCCUUGGAAACCGGAGCGCCAGCUUCGGUGGAGGCAUCGGUGGGAUACUACCCUGGCUGUAUUGACCUUCUAACCCGCCGCCCUUAUCGGGCGGGGAGACAGUGUCAGGUGGGCAGUUUGACUGGGGCGGUCGCCUCCUAAAAGGUAACGGAGGCGCCCAAAGGUUCCCUCAGAAUGGUUGGAAAUCAUUCGCAGAGUGUAAAGGCACAAGGGAGCUUGACUGCGAGACCUACAAGUCGAGCAGGGACGAAAGUCGGGCUUAGUGAUCCGGUGGUUCCGCAUGGAAGGGCCAUCGCUCAACGGAUAAAAGCUACCCCGGGGAUAACAGGCUUAUCUCCCCCAAGAGUCCACAUCGACGGGGAGGUUUGGCACCUCGAUGUCGGCUCAUCGCAUCCUGGGGCUGUAGUCGGUCCCAAGGGUUGGGCUGUUCGCCCAUUAAAGCGGUACGCGAGCUGGGUUCAGAACGUCGUGAGACAGUUCGGUCCCUAUCCGUCGCGGGCGCAGGAAAUUUGAGAGGAGCUGUCCUUAGUACGAGAGGACCGGGAUGGACGCACCGCUGGUGUACCAGUUGUUCUGCCAAGGGCAUCGCUGGGUAGCUAUGUGCGGACGGGAUAAGUGCUGAAAGCAUCUAAGCAUGAAGCCCCCCUCAAGAUGAGAUUUCCCAUUCCGCAAGGAAGUAAGAUCCCUGAAAGAUGAUCAGGUUGAUAGGUCUGAGGUGGAAGUGUGGCGACACAUGGAGCUGACAGAUACUAAUCGAUCGAGGACUUAACCAAUUU